rnacentral:rRNA from 1 species
UCCCUAUCCGUCGUGGGCGUAGGAAAUUUGAGAGGAGCUGUCCUUAGUACGAGAGGACCGGGAUGGACGCACCGCUGGUGUACCAGUUGUUCUGCCAAGGGCAUAGCUGGGUAGCUAUGUGCGGAAGGGAUAAGUGCUGAAAGCAUCUAAGCAUGAAGCCCCCCUCAAGAUGAGAUUUCCCAUAGCGUAAGCUAGUAAGAUCCCUGAAAGAUGAUCAGGUUGAUAGGUUCGAGGUGGAAGCAUGGUGACAUGUGGAGCUGACGAAUACUAAUAGAUCGAGGACUUAACCAUAUAA